rnacentral:rRNA from 1 species
AGCGUAGACGGCUGUGUAAGUCUGAAGUGAAAGCCCGGGGCUCAACCCCGGGACUGCUUUGGAAACUAUGCAGCUAGAGUGUCGGAGAGGUAAGUGGAAUUCCCAGUGUAGCGGUGAAAUGCGUAGAUAUUGGGAGGAACAUCGGUGGCGAAGGCGGGUAACUGGACUGCAACUGACGCUGAGGCGCGAAAGUGUGGGGAGCAAACA